AGCCUGAACGCUGGCGGCGUGGCUAAGACAUGCAAGUCGUACGGAGGUCGCAAGACCUCAGUGGCGAACGGGUGAGUAAUGAAUCGCUAACGUGCCCCGGACUCUGGGAUAGCCGGUCGAAAGGCCGGGUAAUACCAGAUGACAUACCUUUAUCGCAUGAUAGAGGUCUCAAAGGUCCGCCGGUCUGGGAGCGGGCGAUUUCGUAUCAGCUAGUUGGUAGGGUAACGGCCUACCAAGGCGACGACGCGUAGCCGGACUGAGAGGUUGGCCGGCCACAUUGGGACUGAGACACUGCCCAGACUCCUACGGGGGGCUGCAGUAACGAAUCUUCCGCAAUGCACGAAAGUGUGACGGAGCGACGCCGCGUGUGGGACGAAGCCCUUCGGGGUGUAAACCACUGUCAGAGGAAAGAAAGUUCUGAUCUACCUCAGAGGAAGAGGCGGCUAACUCUGCGCCAGCAGCCGC
rnacentral:rRNA from 1 species